UCUCAGUUCGGACUGCAGUCUGCAACUCGACUGCNCGAAGCUGGAAUCGCUAGUAAUCGCGGAUCAGCACGCCGCGGUGAAUACGUUCCCGGGCCUUGUACACACCGCCCGUCACACCAUGGAAGUCUGCAAUGCCCGAAGCCGGUGGCCUAACCACUUAUGUGGAAGGAGCCGUCUAAGGCAGGGCAGAUGACUGGGGUGAAGUCGUAACAAGGUACC
rnacentral:rRNA from 1 species